UACGGAGGGAGCUAGCGUUGUUCGGAAUUACUGGGCGUAAAGCGCACGUAGGCGGCUUUGUAAGUUAGAGGUGAAAGCCCCGGAGCUCAACUCCGGAAUUGCCUUUAAGACUGCAUCGCUAGAAUCAUGGAGAGGUGAGUGGAAUUCCGAGUGUAGAGGUGAAAUUCGUAGAUAUUCGGAAGAACACCAGUGGCGAAGGCGACUCACUGGACAUGUAUUGACGCUGAGGUGACGAAAGCGGUGGGGAGCAAACAGG
rnacentral:rRNA from 1 species